rnacentral:rRNA from 1 species
GAUAAACGCUGGCGGCGUGCCUAAUACAUGCAAGUCGAGCGAACGGACGAGAAGCUUGCUUCUCUGAUGUUAGCGGCGGACGGGUGAGUAACACGUGGAUAACCUACCUAUAAGACUGGGAUAACUUCGGGAAACCGGAGCUAAUACCGGAUGAUAUUUUGAACCGCAUGGUUCAAAAGUGAAAGACGGUCUUGCUGUCACUUAUAGAUGGAUCCGCGCUGCAUUAGCUAGUUGGUAAGGUAACGGCUUACCAAGGCAACGAUGCAUAGCCGACCUGAGAGGGUGAUCGGCCACACUGGAACUGAGACACGGUCCAGACUCCUACGGGAGGCAGCAGUAGGGAAUCUUCCGCAAUGGGCGAAAGCCUGACGGAGCAACGCCGCGUGAGUGAUGAAGGUCUUCGGAUCGUAAAACUCUGUUAUUAGGGAAGAACAUAUGUGUAAGUAACUGUGCACAUCUUGACGGUACCUAAUCAGAAAGCCACGGCUAACUACGUG